UCUAACUUUAAGCUCUCUUUCUACAAACGCAGAGAAACCGGCGACCCAUGUAACUCACCACUCCGAUGAGGUCCUCCGCCACCAGCGAUGACCACCUCGUUGUGACCUUCAUCUUCCUCCUCCGUUCAAACUCUCUACACUAUCUUCCCUAUGUGCUCGUUGCAUAUGAACACCAAGAAUAAAUCCAGCGACCACCUCACUUCUCGACCUCGCUUAUAUACAGAAAUCAACUCGGGAAAAUUAUUACCCAGAUCUCCAGCGAACUCACCGUAGCUGCAAGCGUUUCUUGGCCAUUUUCGACCAUGGAUGUGAAUGAAAAUGGUGCGAUGACUAUCGGAGACUCCGGCCUUCCUAGCUCGAACGAAUGUGACAUCGCAAAUAACUGUUUAAGUGCUGAGCUUUCGUGUUGGUGAAAAUUGUUGGCAAAUCUUGGUAUACGUGGUUACCUUCGAUGGGGAUAUACCACAAUGGCAUCCUAAUCUGCCAGCCGCCUCCUCAACUCCUCAAUUUUUUCCGUCAAAGGCUUCGAUCCAGUGAAAAUCCGUUUAAGCUAAAAGCAUUGGUUUUUUCUCGGCCAGUCAACAGCCAGUCCACAAGAACAGCACUAAUUAAGUGACGUGAGCAAGUAUAGCCGUUGAACCUCACAUGUGGGCUAGCUUAUUUUGAUAACAUAAAGAAAGUUGAGAUUCCACCAUAAACUAAUUAGCAAUAUGGAGGUAGUCCAACCUCUUAUAAACUCUAAUAAGGUUUCUUUUUUCGUGGACAUGACACUAUUUUACCUUCAGAUUCUCACAUAAUUGUGGAGGUCAGACACGAGGGAGAAGGGAGAGAGAGACAACGAUGAGUUAAAGUUUGGAGCCCCUCCCAAAUAUGAUUCUUCUUUCCAUAUUCCUUCUAUGUGAGCCCAACUAAUCUUGCUCAUUCCCCCAAAUAUACAUAAUGGGCCUCUAGAUUUUUAAAAGAUUUUGCACCAAUCGGCCCAACCCAAAUAUGAAAGCCGACUACACAUUAGGGUUUUCUCCGUCCAGUAUAAAUGCUCGCAAAGCUCUGAACUCCAAACCUUCUCACGCCACUGUAUCUUCUUCCGUCCUCUGCAGCUUUCAAGACUAGGGUUUGGGAGCGAACGUCGUUUUACCGCCACCAUGAGAGCCAAGUGGAAGAAGAAGCGCAUGAGGAGGUUGAAGAGGAAGCGCCGAAAGAUGAGACAGAGAUCCAAGUAGUUUGCUCGUUCGCUGUCACCGAUCAUCAAUCGACGUCGUUUCGCUUCCGUCUCCAUGUUUUGUUGUCUAAUCAAGUAAUCAGUACCCCAUUAGUGAACUUGUAGUCGUUUUGUACGCUUUGUGUUAUCGUUUGGAACAAGUUUUGCUUUAAUCAGUUCAGUCAGAUAAUUUAUUUUUAUAUCCUAUAGCAUCGGUGGCGAUUUGGAAUAUUUUGAUGUUAAUCUGUUUAUAUUUCGCUAUGCAAUGUUUCAUUCAUUUGUGUUUUAAGAGUUUGACAUAGGCGGGGUAUGUUACGGGAAAU
rnacentral:sRNA from 1 species